GUGCAGCUCCGAGGCCUUGGCCCGGGUCAGGACCAUCUUCCGUGUCAGCUUCAUGGCGGCCGCCCAGGCCCGACAGGCGGGCGCCCCCGGCCUCCUGCUCCCGGGCGGGUGACGACUGCGCGGCGCGUGUCUCCAGGGGCGGGGCCCGCGUCGUCAGGGGCGGAUCCUGAGCCCAUUGGCGGCUCAGUGAGGAGAGCUGGGCGGCGGGAGCGCGCAGGGGCCGCUUGGGCACCGCUGACACGUUGGCUCUGCUCCUGCUCAUGCGCGGCCUGGGGCGCCCGGCUCUGACGCGAUUCCAAUGCGACCCCGGAAGCGCGCGGCGAGCAGAGGGUGGGUGCAGGUGGCGGUCCCCGAGUCGUCCCAGUGAGGGCUGAACUGCUGCUCCCAGGAACCGAGCGGGGUGGGCUCGGUCCCACGCGCAUCAUGGCCGAGUGCCUAGGCCUGACUCUGAGCGCAGGCCUAGCGUGGAUGGGAUGGGCGCUAGGCAGCUCCAAGUUACGCGAUUCAAACUCUUGGAAUAAACCCAGGGCAGCCCCGGGGCUGUGUUGUUUCCUUGUCUCCCUCCCUCCCAGCAUUUACAGAAAAGACGCAUUUAUAGGAAAGACGCACGGGCAGGUCCAGCAGAGCCCUUACAAGCAUUUCAGCCUUUUAUAAAUCAGGUUUCUUGCACGUCUGACACGGAUGGAUCCAGCUAGAUGUCUUGCCAACAGCUCCUGUGGCCCCACCCAGAAGCCAUGCAGCACAAAAGGACCAAAAGGACAGUUAGAUUUCAUCUGGCACCUAACCAAUCAGCACUCCCCAUGCCCUAGCCCCGUGCUCACCAAACUACCUUUGAACAACCCCUAACCUAUGAGCCUUCAGUUGUAACCAAGCAGCUUAGCAGCUGUGAAUCCAAAAUAUCUGAGACAGGUCUCAAUCAGUUUAGAAAGUUUAUUUUGUCAAGGUUAAGGACAAGCCCAUGACACGGCCUCAGGAGGUCCUGACGACAUGUGCCCUGGGUGGCUGGGGCACAGCUUGUUUUCAUACAUUUUUAGGGAGACCUGAGACAUCAAUCAAUAUGUGUAAGAUGGAAAAAGAAGAGAAAAAGAAGAAAAAAAUAUAUGUAUAAGAUGUACAUUAGGCCGGGCGCGGUGGCUCACGCCUAUAAUCCCAACACUUUGGGAGGCUGAGGCAGGUGGAUUGCCUGAGGUCAGGAGUUCGAGACCAGCCUGGCCAACAUAGUGAAACCCCGUCUCUACUAAAAAUACAAAAAAUUAGCUGGGCGCGGUGGUGGGUUUCACUUGCAUCCAUGUGAAGAGACCGCCAAACAGGCUUUGUGAGAGCAAUAAAGCUGUUUAUUUCA